rnacentral:sRNA from 1 species
ACAGAGUUUAUAAUUCUUUGUUUUGUAAACAAAGCUCAAAUAUUGUCAUUUUUUUACAUAUUCGUUGUAUUGGUGUAAAUUUCAAUCAAAUGUAACUUUGUUUUGUUUAAAAUAGUAUUUAAGAAGAUAUUGAAUUGGUUUAAAUUGUUUUUUAAAUGUCAUUUUAUCUAAGAAAUGGUAAUUCUCUACAUUACAUUUUUUGUAAACAGCUAUAAGACUUGAGCUUGUAACUUGACUCUAACAUUUAAUAUUUUGGUCAAUCAUUUAAAAUGCACCAAUAAACCAUUUUAAACAUAAAAUAUAAAAAUUAAAUUUUUGAUCUCUAAUUGUGUCCAAGUCCCUGUAUCAUAAUUCUAUCCACAAUAAAAUAAAAUUAUUGAACCAAU